CCUACGGGUGGCAGCAGUGAGGAAUAUUGGUCAAUGGACGCAAGUCUGAACCAGCCAUGCCGCGUGAGGGAAGACGGCCCUACGGGUUGUAAACCUCUUUUGUCGGGGAGCAAAGCGAGUCACGUGUGACUCAUGGAGAGUACCCGAAGAAAAAGCAUCGGCUAACUCCGUGCCAGCAGCCGCGGUAAUACGGAGGAUGCGAGCGUUAUCCGGAUUUAUUGGGUUUAAAGGGUGCGCAGGCGGACGGGAAAGUAAGCGGUAAAAUUGCGGGGCUCAACCCCGUACUGCCGUUGAAACUGGAUGCCUUGAGUGGGCGAGAAGUACGCGGAAUGCGUGGUGUAGCGGUGAAAUGCAUAGAUAUCACGCAGAACUCCGAUUGCGAAGGCAGCAUACCGGCGCGCAACUGACGCUGAUGCACGAAGGCGUGGGUAUCGAACAGGAUUAGAUACCCGUGUAGUC
rnacentral:rRNA from 1 species